UACGUAGGGUGCAAGCGUUGUCCGGAAUUAUUGGGCGUAAAGAGCUCGUAGGCGGUUCGUCACGUCGGCUGUGAAAACCUGAGGCUCAACCUCAGGCCUGCAGUCGAUACGGGCGGACUUGAGUACUGCAGGGGAGAUUGGAAUUCCUGGUGUAGCGGUGGAAUGCGCAGAUAUCAGGAGGAACACCGAUGGCGAAGGCAGAUCUCUGGGCCGUAACUGACGCUGAGGAGCGAAAGCAUGGGGAGCGAACAGG
rnacentral:rRNA from 1 species